rnacentral:rRNA from 1 species
GGGGAAUUUUCCGCAAUGGGCGAAAGCCUGACGGAGCAAUACCGCGUGAGGGAGGAAGGCUCUUGGGUUGUAAACCUCUUUUCUCAGGGAAGAAAAAAAUGACGGUACCUGAGGAAUAAGCAUCGGCUAACCCCGUGCCAGCAGCCGCGGUAAUACGGAGGAUGCAAGCGUUAUCCGGAAUGAUUGGGCGUAAAGCGUCCGCAGGUGGCUGUGUAAGUCUGCUGUUAAAGAGCAAAGCUCAACUUUGUAAGAGCAGUGGAAACUACACGGCUAGAGUGCGUUCGGGGCAGAGGGAAUUCCUGGUGUAGCGGUGAAAUGCGUAGAGAUCAGGAAGAACACCGGUGGCGAAGGCGCUCUGCUAGGCCGCAACUGACACUGAGGGACGAAAGCUAGGGGAGCGAAUGGGAUUAGAUACCCCAGUAGUCCUAGCCGUAAACGAUGGAUACUAGGCGUUGCGAGUAUCGACCCUCGCAGUGCCGGAGCCAACGCGUUAAGUAUCCCGCCUGGGGAGUACGCACGCAAGUGUGAAACUCAAAGGAAUUGACGGGGGCCCGCACAAGCGGUGGAGUAUGUGGUUUAAUUCGAUGCAACGCGAAGAACCUUACCAAGACUUGACAUGUCGCGAAUUCCUCUGAAAGGAGGAAGUGCCUUCGGGAGCGCGAACACAGGUGGUGCAUGGCUGUCGUCAGCUCGUGUCGUGAGAUGUUGGGUUAAGUCCCGCAACGAGCGCAACCCUCGUUUUUAGUUGCCAGCAUUAAGUUGGGCACUCUAGAGAGACUGCCGGUGACAAACCGGAGGAAGGUGGGGAUGACGUCAAGUCAGCAUGCCCCUUACGUCUUGGGCUACACACGUACUACAAUGCUACGGACAGAGGGCAGCAAGCUAGUGAUAGCAAGCAAAUCCCGUAAACCGUAGCUCAGUUCAGAUCGAAGCUUGCAACUCAGCUUCGUGAAGGAGGAAUCGCUAGUAAUUGCAGGUCAGCAUACUGCAGUGAAUUCGUUCCCGGGCCUUGUACACACCGCCCGUCACACCAUGGAAGCUGGCAACGCCCGAAGUCAUUACCCCAACCUUUCGGGGAGGGGGAUGCCUAAGGCAGUGCUGGUGACUGGGGUGAAGUCGUAACAAGGUAGCCGUACCGGAAGGUGUGGCUGGAUCACCUCCUU